rnacentral:rRNA from 1 species
UCAGGAUGAACGCUAGCGACAGGCCUAACACAUGCAAGUCGAGGGGCAGCACAAGGAGCAAUCUGAGGUGGCGACCGGCGCACGGGUGAGUAACACGUAUGCAACCUGCCUGUAAGCGGGGAAUAACCCGUUGAAAGACGGACUAAUACCGCAUAAUACUAAAUUACUGCAUGGUAAUUUAUUUAAACAUUUAUGGCUUACAGAUGGGCAUGCGCAUGAUUAGCUAGUUGGAGAGGUAACGGCUCCCCAAGGCAACGAUCAUUAGGGGUUCUGAGAGGAAGGUCCCCCCACACUGGUACUGAGACACGGACCAGACUCCUACGGGAGGCAGCAGUGAGGAAUAUUGGUCAAUGGACGAGAGUCUGAACCAGCCAAGUCGCGUGCAGGAAGAAUUGUCCUAUGGAUUGUAAACUGCUUUUGCAGGGGAAUAAGGUGCAUCACGUGUGAUGUUUUGUAUGUACUCUGCGAAUAAGGAUCGGCUAACUCCGUGCCAGCCGCGGC